UUUACGGAGAGUUUGAUCCUGGCUCAGGACGAACGCUGGCGGCACGCCUAAUACAUGCAAGUCGAGCGCGUGAAGCUUUCCGAAGCCUUCGGGCGGACG
rnacentral:rRNA from 1 species